rnacentral:rRNA from 1 species
UCAGACGAUGCGUCAUGCAUAUCAAUAAGCGGAGGAAAAGAAACUAACAAGGAUUCCCCUAGUAACGGCGAGUGAAGCGGGAAGAGCUCAAAUUUGAAAUCUUAAAGGGUUUCCCUUUACGAAUUGUAGUCUAAAGAAGUGUUUUCUGUUGAGGUUUUGGUAAAAAUUCUUUGGAAUAGGACAUCAUAGAGGGUGAGAAUCCCGUAUUUGACCUCUACUUUCAACUUUGUGAUACACUUUCAAAGAGUCGGAUUGUUUGGGAAUGCAGUCCAAAAUGGGUGGUAAAUUUCAUCUAAAGCUAAAUAUUGGCGAGAGACCGAUAGCGAACAAGUACCGUGAGGGAAAGAUGAAAAGAACUUUGAAAAGAGAGUUAAACAGUACGUGAAAUUGUCAAAAGGGAAGCGUUUGACACCAGUGUUGUUUUUCUGAAAAUCAAUUAAAGAACUGUUUAUGCUAAGCUGUUUAGACUUUAUCAGCUAUCUGUUUAGUUUUGAGCUUUUCUUUAAUGCACUUUUUAGUUAACAAGUCAACAUCAAUUUCUUUUGCUGUAAAAAAGCUUGAGGAAGGUGGCUUGAGAUUCGUCUUAAGUGUUUAUAGCCUCUUGCCUAUGCAGUCGGAGAGAUUGAGGUCUGCAGCGUAGAUCCUUCGGGGCUAAAUGCAUUUGUGCUAAGUUAUAGCAUUUCAUAGACAACUUGUUGACUAUGAUUUGUCUUGUAGCUUACUCGCUUAUGUUAUUUUACCUACGCUUAGGAUGUUGAAUCUGUGCGAGACUAC